ACAGGCAGCAAACACAGUGGAUGUCAAACUUCAGCAAUUAUCAAGGGGAAAGAAGGUCGUGGGGUCAAAACUGUGGAUUUAAAAAAAGCUCUUGAGGUAGAGGCAAACUCCUAAUUAUAGAACAUUAAUCAGAAUUUUGUCUAGUCAUUCAUCAGUCAUCUUCAUGGACCAGCUCUGGAAAUAGCAACCUCUCAUCCAUGUGGGACAGAAGUGUGGAGCUCUGAAAGCAAAGGUAUCAGAAAACGAAAUGAGUAAAUACGCAAUUCUGUUUACAUUCACCAUCUCAACAAUGAAGAAAAAUCAACAGGCGUACAGAAUAUGGCAACUGUACUUUUAAAUGAAGGCUCUUUGGAAGAUCAGCGGCACUGACAUCUCUGCCAUCUUCUCCAUCUUCUUGACCUUCCUGCCCAACUACCAACUGUCUCUCGUCAGCAUUCCGGUGGGAACGCGAUUCAAAGCGUUCUCCUCCAAGGCCUCCACCUACGUUUUCAUCUGGAUGAGCAUACGGUCCAUCUCCCACAACUUGCUCCUGGUCCUCAGAUACGUGAUACGUCUGCCCGUGCUCUUGGGUGAGCGCUGCAUGUCGUCGCAUCUCGUCAAUGAUCAGAGUAGGAACAGCCCGCAAUCCUCCAGCACAUCACCUCCUCCGGAGCUUCCACUUCGUCCAAGUCCAAGGGCCGCAUUUUCCCUGUCACUGCUUUACACCCACCUCCCCCCCGACAGUUGCUGCUUCAAUGGAAGCCACCCACACUCCCGGCCGACAGUAUUCCUGAGUCCCUUUAAAAUGGUCCCUUCACGCCUCCCGCUUCGCAAUUGCUCUGGAAAGAAACGUUUCGUCGACAAGCAGAGGAACUGCGAACUAGGUGGACCCGCAGCCGUCAACUUGCGCAGUUUUGCGGCACUUUCACGACAUGGCGUGUUCUGUUUAUCUUUGGUUAGAUUUGAUAUCCGGUAAUUGGAUGUUUUCAGCUUGCUUAGAAAUGGUAUCAUUUAUAAAUUUUAUUUUCUGACUGUUGCUGAUAUGAAGAAAUGCGUUUGAGCGUAUCUCAAGCUUGAUAACAGGAGACUAGCCUUCAUGACCUGGGGUAGGAAAUGUUUUUGUGUGUUUUAUGUAGCAACUUUGUUGGACUCUCCUGUUAAUGCCGAAUAUCCGUUAAUUCCUUUGGGAUUCCUCCCCCCCCUUAGCUUUACUGAGAUAUAAUUGACAUAUAUAUCUGUGUAAAUUUAAGGUGUACAAUGUAAUGACAUCAUAUAUAUAUAUAUAUAUCUUGAAAUGACCAGCGCCAUAAGGUUAGUUAACAUAUCUAUUACCUCACAUAGUUAUAAUUUUUCUGUUGUGUAGAGAACUUUUAAGAUCUACUCUCUCUGCUACUCUCAAAUACACAAUACACUAUUAUUAAUUGAAGAGACCAUGCUGUAUAUUAUAAUCCCAGGAUUUACUCAUAACUGAAGUGGUUACAGUUUGACCACCUUUCUUCAUCCCACACCCUGAACCCCUGGCAAUUUGUUCAGUUUCUAUGAGUUUGAGUUUUUUAGAUUCUAUAUAUAAGUGUGAUGGUACAUUAUUUAUCUUUCUCUGUCUGAUUUAUUUUACCUAGCAGAAUGCCCUUAGUUCAUAUAUAUUGUUGCAAGCAGCAGGGUUUUCUUCAUUUUUAUGACACACACACACACACACACACACACACAUAUGUAUCACAUUUUAAAAUUCAUUCAUCCUUUGUUGGACACUUAGGUUGUUUCCAUGUCUUGGCUAUUGCAAAUAAUGCUGCAAUGAAACUGGGAGUGCUGGUAUCUCUUAGAGACAGUGAUUUAUUUUCCCUCAGAUAUAUACUCAGAAGUAGGGAAAAAAAAAAAAAGGAGUUCCUGUUGUUGCUCUGUGGGUUAAGAACCUGACUAGUAUCCACAAGGAUGCAGUUUCACUCUCUGGCCUUGCUCAGUGGGUUAAAGAAUUGCUACAAACCAUGGCUGUAGGUCACAGAUGCCACUGUGGUCUGGUGUUGCUGUGGCUGUGGGUAGGCUGGUGGCUAUGGCUCUGAUUCAACCCCUAGCCUGGGAACCUCUAUAUGCCACGGGUAUGGCCAUAAAAAGACAAAAGAAAAAAAAAAAAGAAAGAAAACAGAAAAAGAAGAAGAAAACAGAAAAAGAAGAAGAUGUAGAAUUUGCUAGAUCAUAUAGUAGUUCUGAUUUUAUUUUUCUGUGGGAACUCUGUACUGUUUUCCUAUACCAAUUUACAUGCCUUUUUUGGAAUUUUUAUUAACAUAUACUCACAUAUCAUCUGUGAGUGAUGAAAGUGUUAUUUCCUAUUUCUUUUUCAAUAUUUUCCUCCUUUUUCUUUCUUUCUCUCUGUCCCUCUCCACCUCCCCCUCACCUCCCCCCCCCCAUAAUAGCUAUGUUCCCUUUCUGCACUGGCUGGAACCUUCAGUUAAGUGUUUAAUGGGAGUGGUGACAGCAAACAUACUUGUCUUGUUCCAGGUCUCAGGAGGUAAGCUUUUACCAUUUCACCACUAAACUGCUCCUGUAUAUUUCUUGUUGACAUAAUUUUUGAAAUAAAGAAAUUCCCUUCUCUUCCUAGUUUGCUAAG
rnacentral:lncRNA from 1 species